UACGUAGGUGGCAAGCGUUGUCCGGAUUUACUGGGCGUAAAGAGCGCGCAGGCGGUCGGAUCAGUCGAAUGUGAAAGCCCCCGGCUCAACUGGGGAGGGUCAUUCGAUACUGUCCGACUCGAAGGCAGGAGAGGGAAGCGGAAUUCCCGGUGUAGUGGUGAAAUGCGUAGAUAUCGGGAGGAACACCAGUGGCGAAGGCGGCUUUCUGGCCUGUUCUUGACGCUGAGGCGCGAAAGCUAGGGGAGCGAACGGGGAU
rnacentral:rRNA from 1 species